CUACGGGCGGCUGCAGUGAGGAAUAUUGGUCAAUGGACGGAAGUCUGAACCAGCCAUCCCGCGUGCAGGAAGACGGCCCUAUGGGUUGUAAACUGCUUUUCUGAAGGAAGAAUAAUUCCGAGUUUCUCGGGAGAUGACGGUACUUCAGGAAUAAGCAUCGGCUAACUCCGUGCCAGCAGCCGCGGUAAUACGGAGGAUGCAAGCGUUAUCCGGAUUUAUUGGGUUUAAAGGGUGCGUAGGCGGAUAAGUAAGUCAGUGGUGAAAUCUCUCGGCUCAACCGGGAAACUGCCAUUGAUACUGUUUAUCUUGAGUUCGGCAGAGGUAGGCGGAAUGUGUAAUGUAGCGGUGAAAUGCUUAGAUAUUACACAGAACACCAAUUGCGUAGGCAGCUUACUAUACCGACACUGACGCUGAGGCACGAAAGCGUGGGGAGCGAACAGGAUUAGAUACCCUGGUAGUC
rnacentral:rRNA from 1 species